UUGCGCCUGGUCCCAGUACCGGUUUCUUCCGUCCUAGCGAGACAAGCAGGGCCGACUCCCUGACAGCCCUGCCUGGCGCCAUCACGCCAGGUGCUCGGCAGUGAUUCACUAGAUGCCUUCAGAGCUCCCUGCUCCCGGUUCCUUCUCACGACUGUAUUCACUGAAUGCACAGCCUGGGUCUUUAUCCACCUGGGAGACCUCGGAAACAGGAGCUGGUGAGCUGCAGACCCCACGCCCCGGGACAGCAGGCGAGUAAAGUGUCACUCGCCCACUGGCCAGAACGGAGCACGGCCUUGGAGUCCGGAUUUGGCUGUGGAGUGGGUCUCCUUGACACCCGGCUGUGCUGCACACACAGGCCUCUGGAGGUGGCGGCCGUCUCUGAAGGCGGUGUUGGUGGGAAGCUUUUCUUUUUUUGUUUUUCUGUAUUUUCUAAAGUCUGUAGCAUUUUACUAUGUACAAUUUUAGUGGUCAAAAUAAAUGCAAAACUGUUCAAAACUGGGUCCAAGGGAUGCAUCCUGCCAGUGUCCCCGUGC